AUCCCGGACCGGCGGGGUGAGAACUCCACGGCGGGUUCGGGUUCCGCCUCGGCCGCGGGUUCCGCAUCCGGCUCCGGUUCCGGUUCCGGCUCGGGUUCC
rnacentral:tRNA from 1 species